rnacentral:rRNA from 1 species
ACUCCUACGGGAGGCAGCAGUGGGGAAUAUUGCACAAUGGGGGAAACCCUGAUGCAGCCAUGCCGCGUGUGUGAAGAAGGCCUUGGUUGUAAAGCACUUUCAGUAGGGAGGAAGGUAGUGUAGUUAACACCUGCAUUAUUUGUACGUUACCUACAGAAGAAGCACCGGCUAACUCCGUGCCAGCAGCCGCGGUAAGUACGGAGGGUGCGAGCGUUAAUCGGAAUUACUGGGCGUAAAGCGCAUGCAGGCGGCCUGUUAAGUCAGAUGUGAAAGCCCGGGGCUUAACCUCGGAAUUGCAUUUGAAACUGGCAGGCUAGAGUCUUGUAGAGGGGUUAGGAAUUUCAGGUGUAGCGGUGAAAUGCGUAGAGAUCUGAAGGAAUACCAGUGGCGAA